CCGGGCCGAGAGCCGCAGGGCAGUGCCGGGUACUGCCCCGCGCCUGGAGCCGUGUUUGCUGCGAGCUCCGCUGCGUCUGAGCUCUGCGGGAUCACCUCACAAGGCAGGGGAGGUCACUGAUAUCUGGGACUAGGGGACCCACUGGACUGCUAUGAAGAGCUCUUUGCUCUUAAUGAACAAAGGCGCUGUGGGCCUGGAGACGCAGAAGUGACUUGCAGAGGAUCCUCUCAGAAGCUCAGCCUGUAAAGUGGAGAACUUGUAAUCUGUUUGUGCUGACCCCGGAAAGCUGAGCAAAGCAUCAUGAGUAGCCAUCAGACAGUAAAAAUCUUCAAGAAAUCUUCUAUCCCAGGAGUUGCUAUCACUCAGUUUGUGAAUGAUAUUCCACAAGGAUGCAGUACACCUGAUUUUGAGAAAAAACCACUCAGUCUGACAUUGCAGGAAGGCAAAAAUGCCAUUUUCAGAGCUGUGGUCAAAGGUGUCCCAGCUCCUGAGGUGAAAUGGUCACGUACGCAGAAAGGAAUGGAUGAUCCUGCCAAAUAUGAAAUGUCCUUCAAUAGUGCUACAAAUGAAUUCAUUCUGCAGAUCAAGAGCCUGGUUCUGGAUGACAGUGAUUUGUAUCGCUGCUGUGCUGUCAAUGCCUACGGAGAGGCCUCGUGCUCUGCUGGCCUCAGGAUCAUCCAAGUCGGCUUUAAGAGGAAGGCAAAAUAUGUUCCUGUUCAUGCUGCUGAUGAGCUCAAGAAGACACUCCAGAACUCCAAGAAGAUGCUGAGGAAGAGGGUUGCAGCACCAAAACCGAAGCCUCUGGACAAAGAAGCUGUGUGGCAGCUGUUGCUGCAUGCAGAUAGGAGAGAUUAUGAGAAAAUCUGUAUGAAAUAUGGAAUUGCUGACUUCCGUGGGAUGCUGAGGAAGCUGCAGGAGAUGAGGAAGGACACAGAGAGUGAACAAGACAAGUUAAUUCAGAGUCUCAAAAACUUUGAACACAUCAAAGUCGACAAGGAGGGAAAUGCUACUUUCAGCCUGGAGAUGGAGCUGAAAAACAGCAACAGCAACGUUUACCUGCUCAAGGACGGCGAGCGGCUCCGCUACGGGACCGGGGAUGAGUACAGGAAGCACUGCCUGCGGAGAGUUGGGAGGAGGUACUACUUCACUGUCAAUGAUGUGCAGCCAGAGGACGCAGGGGUGUACCAGGUCAGGGUGGAGGACGUCCCUGUCUUCUCAACUGAACUGGAUGCUCAAGCCAUCCCGGCGCGGUUCCGGCAGCCGCUCUCCGACGUGCGCUGUGCCGAGGCCGGGGACGCCGAGUUCCAGUGUGUGCUGUGCACGCCCUGCCACCAGCCCCUGUGGCUGCACAAAAGCCACCCCCUCCAGGCCAGUGACAAGCACCAGAUCUCUGUGACACCUGAUGGCCUGACCCACAAGCUGACUGUCAGGAACGUGGGGCCCUCGGACAGCGGCCUGUACACGCUCGACGCGGGACAGGGCUCCUCCAGUGCCUGGCUCCUCGUGGAGUAUGACAAAGGAAAGAGGAGACAGGAUGAAGGAGAAAAGGCUGGAAGGGAGACAUCUGAGUGGCUGAAAGAAGCAAUGGCAGACAAUGAAAGGGCGAGGAAGCUUCGUCGCCAAGAACAAGCUGCUGCUGAAGGUCGUUCUUCCUUUUCCACAUCCUCUGGUGUGGAGAAAAGUGGCUGGAACAGAACAGGUCAAGGCAGCAGUCAAGGCAGGGGCCAAGUACACUCUGUUGAUUCUGAUGAUGGAAGCCAAAUAUUUUUGGGAAAAGAAGGGCUACGCAAAACCCACAUGAAUGGAGAGAUGGGGUCUGGGCAGUUUUCUGGAGCAGGUCUAGAUGGAGACUCGGCAGCCAAUGACGGCAGCAUCUUUGGACUAAAAGGCUUAGGGGGCAGAAGUGGGUUAAGGGCUGUCCAUGGCAGGGACUCUGUGUCAGGCAAAGCAGGUCCUGGUGGUGUUGUAGGAGGGGCAGGUGAAUGGAAUUCUGUGGAUGGCAGAGGUGAAGGUUUGCUGGGUACUGUUAACAUUGACAUGGAUGAUGGAGAAGGUUUGGACUCUCAGCAUGACAAGGAUGGGAAUUUAGAUGAUACCAGUUACAGAGCUGGUUUUGGGGGUGCUGGGAGGUUGGGUGGUGGAAGUUCUGGGCCAGAUGGGCUUGAUCCUGAUUCAACUGGAGUGGGAGCCAGUGUGGGUGUUCUGUUCAGCAAGACUGAUCCAAGAACUGGAGCUGGGGGGAAUGCUGCAGUUGCUGGAAUGGCAGGAGGAAUGAGGGCCCAGCAUGGCCAGGAUGGGCAUGCCACUGUGGGUGAUAUGAUCGGAGCAGGUAUAAACAGAGAGGGACAAACAGAGACUCCUUAUGGCAAGGAUGGCCUGACACCUCAUGCCAGUGGUCAGUUAGGACAGACAGGAAGAUCUGGCUCAUUGUAUGGGCCAGGAGGCCUUCCAGGUGGAGAUGGGGCUACACCUGGUACAGGUGGCAACUCCACAGGAGAAAUUGAGGCUUUGUAUGGUCCAGGUGGUCAGGCACUGAGAACAGGUGCUGGUGUUGUGGGUGGAGCUGGUGCAGGGGGAUUUGGGUCUCCCUAUGGAAAGGAUGGUCUCCCAGCUGGGGCUGGUUUUGGUGGGGCUGGUGGUCCAGGGGGACUUGGAGCUCCCUAUGGGAAAGAUGGUCUUCCAAUUGGAGCAGGUGCUGGUGGUGCAGGGGGACAUGGAUCUCUCUAUGGAAAGGAUGGUCUCCCAGCUGGGGCUGGUGGAGCUGGUGCAGGAGGAUUUGGAGAGGCUUUGUAUGGUCCAGAUGGUCGACCACUUGGAGCAGCUGUUGGUGGUGGUGCUGGUGCAGGGGGAUUUGGAGUUCCCUGUGGAAAGGAUGGUCUCCCGCUUGGAGCUGGUGUUGGUGGAGUUGGUGUAGCUGGUAUAGGGGGAUUUGGAGCUCCCUAUGGGAAGGAUGGUCUUCCAGCUGGAGCAGGUGCUGGUGGUGCAGGAGGAUUUGGGGAGGCUUUGUAUGAUGGUCGGCCACUUGGAGCUGCUGUUGAUGCUGGUGGUAGUGGUGCUGCUGCAGGGGGAUUUGGAUCUCCCUAUGGGAAGGGUGGUCUCCCAGCUGGAGCUGGUGGAGCUGGUCUAGGACUUGGAGAGACUUUGUAUGGUCCAGAUGGUCAGCCACUUGGAGCAGGUGUUGGUGGGUCUGGUAGUACAGGGGGACUUGGAUCUUUGUAUGGAAAAGAUGGCCACGCAGCUGGGGCUGGUUUUGGUGGUGUUGGUGCAGGGGGACCUGGAGCUCCCUAUGGGAAGGAUGGUCUUCCAUCUGGAGCUGGUGGAGCUGGUGCAGGAGAACCUGGAGAGGCUUUGUAUGGUCCAGAUGGUCAGCCACUUGGAGGAGGUGUUGGUGGUGCUGGUUCUGUGAGUGCCAGGGGAGCUGGAGCUCCCUAUGGAAAGGAUGGUCUCCCAGUUGGAGCAGGUGCUGGUGGUGUUGGUGGUGCAGGGGGUGUUGGAGCUCCCUAUGGAAAGGAUGGUGUCCCAGUUGGAGCAGGUGUUGGUCAUGCAGGGGGUGUUGGAGCUCCCUAUGGAAAGGAUGGUGUCCCAGUUGGAGCAGGUGUUGGUGGGACUGGUGGUGAAGGGAGAGUUGGAGCUCUUUAUGGAAAGGAUGGCCUGCCAAUUGGGACUGGUGGUGGUGCAGAGGGAGUUGGAGGUCCCUAUGGAAAGGAUGGUGUCCCAGUUGGAGCUGGUGUUGGUGGUGUUGGUGCAGGGAUACCUGGAGCUCCCUAUGGGAAGAAUGGUCUCCCAGCUGGAGCAGGUGCUGGUAUUAGUGGUGCAGGGGCAGUUGGGCUUCCCUACAGAAUGGAUGGUCUCCCAGUUGAAGCAUGUGUUGGUGGCACUGGUGCAGGGGGAUUUGGGUCUCCCUAUGGGAAGGAUGGUCUCCCAGGUAGAGCUGGUGGAGCUGGUGCAGGAGAACCUGGAGAGGCUUUGUAUGGUCCAGAUGGUCAGCCACUUGGAGGAGGUGUUGAUGGUGCUGGUUCUGUGAGUGCCAGGGGAGCUGGAGCUCCCUAUGGAAAGGAUGGUCUCCCAGUUGGAGCAGGUGCUGGUGGUGUUGGUGGUGCAGGGGGUGUUGGAGCUCCCUAUGGAAAGGAUGGUCUCCCAGUUGGAGCAGGUGCUGGUGGUGUUGGUGGUGCAGGGGGUGUUGGAGCUCCCUAUGGAAAGGAUGGUCUCCCUGUUGGAGCAGGUGCUGGUGUUAGUGAUGCAGGGGGAGUUGGAGGUCCUUAUGGAAAGGAUGGUGUCCCAGUUGGAGCAGAUGUUGGUGGGACUGGUGAUGAAGGGGAAGUUGGAGCUCUUUAUGGAAAAGAUGGUCUGCCAAUUGGGACUGGUGGUGGUGCAGGGGGAGUUGGGGGUCCCUAUGGAAAGGAUGGUCUCCUACCUGGGGCAGUGGCAGGAGCUGCUCAUUUUUCUCCUGGAGGUGAGGAAGCGAUGGGAUCUGGCCGUGGCAUGGAUGCCGCACUGAGCAGGGCUCCGGGAUAUGCAGGUGGAGCAGGAGGAGAGGGCUUUUCCAGGGAAGGCUCUGCAAUGUGGGGUGCAGGGUCUCCCUAUGGUGAGGACAGAGGGUCAGCUGUAGCCACAGCUGGUGCAGGUGGAGUUGGGAGGUUGGGAGGGGAUGAAUGGGAUUCAGUCCAUGGUAAAGGAGGUGUGGGACCUGCUGGUGGACCAGGUGGUGAAUAUGGGCUGGAUGCACAUCUUGGCAGAUCUUCGAGAGGUGAGACUGGAAAGGGCACUGCCAGUGAUGUCAGAGGACUAGGGAACAAAGGUUCAGCUGGUGACAGAGGGUCCCUGUCUGGUCCAGGAGGAGCCUGGGGAGAGGGCAGAGAUUUCAGACAGUUGGGCUCCUUUUAUGGCACAAAUUCUGCCUUUGGAGAGGCAGGGAGUAAAUCCCAUGACAGAUCUGUUGACGGGAGUAGUUCAGAUGGGUUUGGUCAAGGUCCACUGAGUUAUGGCCAGGUGUCAGGUCCUUUUGGUGGACCUCCUUCAGCAAACCAGAGAAACCAGGAACCUGAUGUGGAUCUUAAAGCAAAUGAUUCCCUGAACAAGACGGAAAGCACAGCACAAAAGAGACGGAGUGUCCUGGAUGAUCUCAAAGUCCCACGCUGUUACCUCAACAAGCAGCUGGCAACUGUGCGGGUGCUGAAGGGGGAGCCAGCUGAGCUGUCCUGCACUGUCAGCAAGGACAACGUGACAGGAACCUGGUUUAAGGAUGGCCUAAAGUUAACAAGCAUGGAUGGAGUCGUGUUUGAAAAGAAAGGUCUUGUCCACAAACUGAUCAUUAACAAGGCUGAAGAUAUUCAUGCUGGGAAAUACAGGUUUGAAGGUGGAGAUGUAAAAACUGAAGCUUCAAUUUUUGUUGAAGAUCCUCCCCAGGUGGACAAAGUUCUCCUCAAGAACUUGACCAGUGUCCCCACAGUGGCCAAGGCCGGGGAGGGGGUGAAGCUGCGGAUCCCAUUCGAGGGUCGGGGGCCCAUCAGGGCGGCGUGGAUGAAGGACAGGAUGGAGCUGGGGGAUGACACCAGGAUCCGUGUGGACAAGACAGACACCUGCACCACGCUGUCCAUCUCCAGCUGCGACAGGAGGGACUGUGGGGAUUACAAAGUCAGGCUCAAGAACGACAGUGGUGUCCUGGAGAUCAACCUAAAACUCGUGGUGAUAGACAAGCCACAGCCUCCAGCAGGACCCAUCAAAAUUGUAGAUAGCUCUGCCAACAACAUCACAAUCCAGUGGAAGCCCCCAAAGGAUGAUGGGGGCAAACCAGUACAAAGGUAUCUCGUGGAGAGGCAGCAGGUGGGCAGGAACGACUGGGAGAUACUGGGAGAAACCCCCAGGAGCUGCACCAGCUUCACCAUGAACAAAGUGGAGGAAGAGAUGAGCUACUACUUCAGGGUGAGAGCCAUGAAUGCCGAGGGAGUGAGUGAUGCGCUGGAGUCAGGGGAAGUGAAGGCUGCUGGUAAAGCUUCCCCUGGUGCCCCAGAUCCCCCUGAGAUCAUCAGUGCCAGCAGAGACACCAUCACCAUAUCCUGGAAAGCUCCUUGUAAAACUGGCACUUCCCAAAUUAUGGGAUACAUGGUUCAGAAACGCAAGAAGGGCACUGUGACCUGGCUGCCAGUCACCAACGUGCCUGUUAAAGACAAGAAACUGAAGGUGACCAGCCUCAAGAAGGGUGUGCAGUAUGAGUUCCGCGUGGCAGCUGUCAAUGCUGCUGGCACAGGACAGCCCAGUGACCCCUCAGAGCCUGCCUUUGCCCGGGACCCCACCAAAUCUCCAGGCCAAGUGCAGGACCUUAAAGUGAGCAGCAGUGACAGCAGCAGUGUCACCUUGACAUGGAACAAACCUGAAGUACAAGAUGGGAAUGAUGUGAAAGGCUACGAGGUGGAGAUGAGGCGCUGUAACAGCCUCAGCUGGACCAAGUGCUUCACACUCCCUGCAGAGAGCACCUCGUGCAGGGUGCAGGGCCUGCAGGCCAGGGAGAAGCUGUUCCUGCGCGUGAGGGCCCUCAGCGACGGCGGCCCCGGGGAGGCCUCGGAGCUGCAGGCGUGUGCUGGAGCUGCUGCUGCUGCCGUGGUCUCUCCCAGGUUACUGAUAGAUGACACAGUGAAAAGCUUCCUGGUUAUAAAAGCAGGAAAUCCCAUCCGGGUGAAGAUUCCCUUUGAGGGAUCUCCGGAGCCGGUGGUAACCUGGUUAAAGGAUGGGCUCCCCCUUCCCAGCCGGGCUGCCGUGAGCACCGAGGAUGGGAGCAGCCAGCUGCUGCUCAGGGCAGCUGAGUACAGUGACAGCGGCACCUACACCGUGGAGCUUGGGGAUGGGCUGGGGAAAAGGGAAACCUUCAGCUUCCAGGUUCAAAUUACAGAUAUCCCUCAGCCCCCUGGAGCCAUCCGACUGGAGGAGAACGUGCCCAACACGGUGACAGUGACCUGGGACCCCUCAGCAUCUGAGCAGUGGGAGAACAACCUGUAUUACACUGUCCUGAAACGGGAAUCCCAGAAGGGCCUGUGGCAUGUGCUGGGAGAUCUGAUCUACAACAACAAGUUCACCUUCACCAGGGUGGUCCCAGGCAGGGAUUAUUACUUCAGGGUUGUGGCAAAAAAUGAGCUGGGAGCCAGUCAUCCAUCAGAGACUGUGCAGCCAUGGAGGAUCUUGAAAAAAAAGGCUGAAUUUAGAGUGAAAACACAGAAAUACAGAGGAGUCAACCAGAACCAGCACCCGAGGUUCCUGGUGCCACUUAAGUCACACGUGGUGGUGAUGGGCAGCGAGUGUCACAUGAGCUGUGCUGUUGGAGGCCAUCCCCCACCAAAAAUCACAUGGUACAAGGACAGCAGAGACCUCUCCAGAGAUCCCAACUACUUCUGCACCAACGACUUUGGAGUGUGCUCGCUGGUGGUGCUGGGGGUCACCAAGCAGGAUGAGGGGGAGUACAUGGUGGAAGCUAGCAACGAAGUGGGCCGUGCCUUCAGCAAAGCCUUCCUUGCCAUCAAAGACUCCUCCCUGUAGCGUGGCCCUGAUGAGAGUAUCCCUGUAUGGCUCUGAGGAUGAGAAGGUUUUGGCUUUCUAUGAGACCUUUAAAACACAGCUUAGAAGCUUCAGGAGCACAGAUGAUGAAAGGAAAAAUAAUUGGCCAAAAUGAAACUUUCCAUGGAGAACACAGGUGGGAGAGACCAUCCUGCCACACCACUCACCUGCAACAAGGACCUUUCUGGACAUGACAUAUCUAAUAUCAGGGAUCUCUGGUCCUUUCACAUACGCUUUUUCAAGCCAAAACAAUCACUUUGGAUUCCAUGUGAUUCUCUGCGGGUUUCCCAAAUCUGGCAAUAGCAGUUCUGCAUAUGUUCUACUACCAGUAUCUAACAUACCUACUGCUAAGUAGAUUAUCUUCCCUAACCCCUAAGUUUAAAAGAUCAUCUGCCUGCUCAUUUUGUCUGGGAAGGAGAUGAAACCUCAGACCAGCCUGGCAUGGGGUAGGUGAAGCUCCCAGUACAAAUGCACUGAUGGGAAGGAUUGGCAGUCUACAACCACUGUGUGAGCAGAGCAACUCGCAAAAUCCACAGCAUGUGCUGUACCAAGGCUGUGUCAGUCCUGAAUCACCCCCAGCAUCACCUGUGCAUCCCAACUGCCCCUGGUCAUGGCACUGCUGGAAGCCUUUGCCUUGAGCAGAAAGAGGUGAAAAAUCCUUCCUGUCUGACCAGAUAUACGAGGGAUCCCCAGGGACCUCCUGCCAUGGCCAGGGGUUGCCAUCACUGGGCCUGGACAGCAAAAUGUUCUGGUGGCUGUAGGAGGGUGUCACAGCCAGAGCACCAAGGGUACUUUGUGACAGGAGAGAGCAGAGCCAAACACAGCUGUGGGGCUGGAAUGUUCUUGGGAUUAUGUUUUUGUACAAUGAACAGAUGUACAUUGCUACAGAUGUAGCAGCAGUAGAUAAUGAAAUUAAACCACAAUUCAGUGAAAUCUA